GCAGCUCGUGACUCAAAAUGAAAAGAGUCUGACUCAAAAUCCUUUAAACGAGCUGGUGACUAGAUGACUAAGAGGCUGUUUGGUUCGCGCCUCCUAAACUUUCUAAGGGGUAGGGAUUUGAUCUGACGUCCUAUUUUUCAUUUUUUUGUUUGCUGACCGGCGCGCGUGAGCGUGGGAAGGUGAAACACACGAAUAAACUCACACUUAAAUAUAGUUGAGAUAGAGCCAUAAGCUAAUCAAGUAUAUAAAUCAAAUAACAAGCAUAUGCUUGAAUCGAUCUUUUAGUGGAUGAUGUGGUGUCAAAAAAAAUAUUACAGAGAAGCAUAAGGGUAGUAUUGUGCAUGUGCACAACUGUUGCAUCCAUGUGCGAUAUAUAUAUAGGGGCCGGGAAUGAUGUGUGGUCAUGCAUGUGGAUAUCCUACGGUCGGCCUACCAUCUCACAACUUAGCAAUUAGCAUAGACCCAUGUACCUAUCCCAUAAUAACUAAUUCAUUAAUAGUGUGUUUGGUUUGAGGAACGAAGUGAUCCAUCUUCUUCUCACUCCUCACUUUUUUAUUUGGUUUGUGGAAUAUAAUGAGUUGAUCCAUCACCACAUCAUUCCUCAUAAGCUAAUAAUUAGUAUAUAAAUGAAGAGUUGUUUGAUUCUACCAAAAUUGAUGGAAUGAACUUAUGAUGCAUCACCUCAUGAAGCAUGGAGUGACUCCACAAACCAAACACACUAUAAAGAUGCAUU
rnacentral:lncRNA from 7 species